rnacentral:rRNA from 1 species
GCCUACGGGAGGCAGCAGUGAGGAAUAUUGGUCAAUGGGCGAGAGCCUGAACCAGCCAAGUCGCGUGAUGGAAGACGGUCCUAUGGAUUGUAAACCUCUUUUGCCGGGGAGCAAAAAGCGGUACGUGUACCGCAUCGAGAGUACCCGGAGAAAAAGCAUCGGCUAACUCCGUGCCAGCAGCCGCGGUAAUACGGAGGAUGCGAGCGUUCUCCGGAUUUAUUGGGUUUAAAGGGUGCGCAGGCGGCGAGUUAAGUCAGCGGUAAAAUGU